rnacentral:rRNA from 1 species
GCACCACAAGGGGUGAAGUCUGCGGUUUAAUUGGAUUCAACGCCGGAAAUCUCACUGGAGGCGACGGCAGAAUGACAGCCAAGCUGAUGACUUUGCUUGACGAGCCGAGAGGAGGUGCAUGGCCGUCGUCAGCUCGUACCGUAAGGCGUCCYGUUAAGUCAGGCAACGAGCGAGACCCGUGCCCUUAUUUGUCAGCUGACCCCUGCGGGGGUCAAGACCCAUUAAGGGGACCGCUGCUGAUAAAGCAGAGGAAGGAGCGAGCAACGAUAGGUCAGUAUGCCCCGAAUCCUUCAGGCUACACGCGGACUGCAAUGGCUAGUACAAUUGGCCCCAACUCCGAAAGGAGAAGGAAAUCCCGAAAGCUAGUCUUAGUUCGGANUGNGGGCUGUAAAUCGCCCACAUGAAGCCGGAAUCCCUAGUAAUCGCGUCUCACUAUGGCGCGGUGAAUACGUCCCUGCUCCUUGCACACACCGCCCGUCACACCACCCGAGUGAGGUUUAGAUGAGGCAAUGGCCCUAGGUCAUUGUCGAGUCNGGGUUUUACAAGGGGGGUG